rnacentral:rRNA from 1 species
CGAAGGAUGCAAGCGUUAUCCGGAUUCAUUGGGUUUAAAGGGAGCGUAGGCGGCCCUAUAAGUCAGUGGUGAAAUCUCGAGGCUUAACCUCGAAAUUGCCAUUGAUACUGUAGGGCUUGAGUACAGUUGCCGUUGGCGGAAUAUGACAUGUAGUGGUGAAAUACAUAGAGAUGUCAUAGAACACCGAUUGCGAAGGCAGCUAACGAAGCUGUAACUGACGCUGAGGCUCGAAAGUGCGGGGAUCAAACAGGAUUAGAUACCCUGGUAGUCCGCACUGUAAACGAUGAUUACUCGCUGCUGGAGGGCAACCUUCAGUGGCUUAGCGAAAGCGAUAAGUAAUCCACCUGGGGAGUACGCCGGCAACGGUG